rnacentral:lncRNA from 1 species
GAAUGGUAGAAAGCAGUCUUCAGCCUGAGACCCAUCCCUAGACUCUAUGGCACAAAGAGGCACUACAGAAAAUCCCAGAAUUUAUUCUGACUGAAGCAAUAUGCAACUGGCAAAACUGGCAGCUGAAAGGAUCCUGAAUAAGAAGGAUUUUAAAUGCCGUUUUGGCACAGGAUGUCAGAGCACAAGCAUGGUGAAGAGGAAUCUGUGUCAGGAAGAAGGUGGAAGAGAUAUGACAUUGGUCAAACAGAGAAUUGAUAAAAUAAGAAAACAAGUUGAAAAACUAAAACAAAACCAGGUGCCAAAUUUCUCAAAGCCAGAGAAUGGAUUAAAAAUAUGGAAUGGAAAUAAACAAGUAUGAAGCCUGAUGAUUAAACUGGAUGUAUCAGUAAUGAAAUCAUGGAAUCUAAAAAAAAUCAAUAUAAAUGUAUGUAUGCAUAUAUGGAGAGAGAGAGACAGAGAAACAGACAGAGGGAGAGGCCAAGCAACUGGUACAAGUGAUACCCUAAUCGCAAUGAGGACACUGAACCCCCAGAUCUUGGUUCUCAAUAACAUGCUCCAUUGAAAAGAAUGAGGCCUGAUUCUGGAGCUGGUGCAGAAAAAUUACAAGAUGAUCCUGGAAUAUAUAUUGUUAAAAAUUAAGACAAUGUUGAAAGGAUAAUAAGGUCAUCCUGAAAGAUUAAAUUGUUGUCAGUUUGAGAAUUUAAAUAAUUAAUGGCAAAAUGGAUUACUACUCAUUGAAUCAAAGAGAAAAACAUGAGCCCAUAUUGUUAUAAAUACGUAAAUGCAUAUAUUGAAAGCUUA